GACGAGUCGAGGAAAACGCGAGAUGCGUUCUUUGACAGAAGACAUCUUGAUUUAAAUAUCAAAGUACGGGAAGUACUGAUGUUGGGCUCCUUCGGCUGUGAAACGAAGACCCUGA
rnacentral:sRNA from 31 species